CAGGCUUACACAUGCAAGUCGAGGGGUAACAUUGUGCUUGCACAGAUGACGACCGGCGCACGGGUGCGUAACGCGUAUAGAACCUACCUUUUACAGAGGAAUAGCCUUUAGAAAUGAAGAUUAAUGCCUCAUGGUAUUGUAGACUGGCAUCAGUUUAUAAUUAAAGAUUUAUCGGUAAAAGAUGGCUAUGCGUCCUAUUAGUUAGUUGGUAAGGUAACGGCUUACCAAGACAGCGAUAGGUAGGGGUCCUGAGAGGGAGAUCCCCCACACUGGUACUGAGACACGGACCAGACUCCUACGGGAGGCAGCAGUGAGGAAUAUUGGACAAUGGAGGAGACUCUGAUCCAGCCAUGCCGCGUGUAGGAAGAAUGCCCUAUGGGUUGUAAACUACUUUUAUACAGGAAGAAACACUGGUAUGUAUACCAGCUUGACGGUACUGUAAGAAUAA
rnacentral:rRNA from 1 species